AAUAUUCAAAUGAGAACUUUGAAGGC
rnacentral:ncRNA from 3 species